AGAGUUUGAUCCUGGCUCAGGAUGAACGUUGGCGGCGUGCUUAACACAUGCAAGUCGAACGAAGCACUUUGGACAGAUUCUUCGGAUGAAAUCCUUAGUGACUGAGUGGCGGACGGGUGAGUAACGCGUGGGUAACCUGCCUCAUACAGGGGGAUAACAGUUAGAAAUGGCUGCUAAUACCGCAUAAGCGCACAGUACCGCAUGGUACGGUGUGAAAAACUCCGGUGGUAUGAGAUGGACCCGCGUUGGAUUAGCUAGUUGGCAGGGUAACGGCCUACCAAGGCGACGAUCCAUAGCCGGCCUGAGAGGGUGGACGGCCACAUUGGGACUGAGACACGGCCCAGACUCCUACGGGAGGCAGCAGUGGGGAAUAUUGCACAAUGGGGGAAACCCUGAUGCAGCGACGCCGCGUGAAGGAAGAAGUAUCUCGGUAUGUAAACUUCUAUCAGCAGGGAAGAUAGUGACGGUACCUGACUAAGAAGCCCCGGCUAACUACGUGCCAGCAGCCGCGGUAAUACGUAGGGGGCAAGCGUUAUCCGGAUUUACUGGGUGUAAAGGGAGCGUAGACGGUGUGGCAAGUCUGAUGUGAAAGGCAUGGGCUCAACCUGUGGACUGCAUUGGAAACUGUCAUACUUGAGUGCCGGAGGGGUAAGCGGAAUUCCUAGUGUAGCGGUGAAAUGCGUAGAUAUUAGGAGGAACACCAGUGGCGAAGGCGGCUUACUGGACGGUAACUGACGUUGAGGCUCGAAAGCGUGGGGAGCAAACAAAAUUAGAUACCCUGGUAGUCCACGCCGUAAAC
rnacentral:rRNA from 1 species